AGUAACACGUGGGUUACCUGCCCCGAUGAUUGGGACAACCCGAGGAAACUCGGGCUAAUACCAAAUGUGCUCCUGGCCGUGAUGGCCUUGAGGAAAGGAAGCUUCGGCCUCCGCAUCGGGAUGGGCCCGCGGCCCAUUAGCUAGUUGGUGAGGUAACGGCUCACCAAGGCUUCGACGGGUAGCUGGUCUGAGAGGACGAUCAGCCGGAUUGGGACUGAGAUACGGCCCAG
rnacentral:rRNA from 1 species